rfam:Bat coronavirus HKT9-1, complete genome.
UUCUUGUUGAGCGAAGACCGUGAUUGGCCUUUGCAUAUUAAGUGUGACUUAGUUAGAGAGACCACGGUUUAAUCGCUGUGGCCUACUCUUAUACAGAAUGGAAUCCUAGUGUACAGUGGUAUAAGUAAGCUGUGCAUUCGCUAUGUUUAGGUUUAGAAUGUAGUUUAGUGCUAGCUGAUUAGAGUGUGUUAAAGACUUGUAGAGCGCCUUAGGGAAGAGCUAAUCAGUAAUACAUUAUACAAAAUUUUAAGCAACCCCUAAUCAUAGUAUGCUUUAUAGAGGAUUUGC